GGACAUUUAGCUCAGCUGGAAGAGCAUCCGCUUGACGUGCGGAAGGUCGGCGGUUCGAACCCGUCAAUGUCCACCA
rnacentral:tRNA from 5 species